GUAAGGAAUAUUGGACAAUGGACGCAAGUCUGAUCCAGCCAUGCCGCGUGAAGGAUUAAGGUCCUCUGGAUUGUAAACUUCUUUUAUAAGGGACGAAAAAAGGCUUUUCUAAGUCGUCUGACGGUACCUUAUGAAUAAGCACCGGCUAACUCGGUGCCAGCAGCCGCGGUAAUACGGAGGGUGCAAGCGUUAUCCGGAUUCACUGGGUUUAAAGGGUGCGUAGGCGGGCAGGUAAGUCAGUGGUGAAAUCCUAGAGCUUAACUCUAGAACUGCCAUUGAUACUAUCUGUCUUGAAUAUUGUGGAGGUAAGCGGAAUAUGUCAUGUAGCGGUGAAAUGCUUAGAUAUGACAUAGAACACCUAUUGCGAAGGCAGCUUACUACGCAUAUAUUGACGCUGAGGCACGAAAGCGUGGGGAUCAAACAGGAUUAGAAACCCCUGUAGUCC
rnacentral:rRNA from 1 species